GUGGUUUGCCUCUUAACAGCCAUAUGAUUUUUUCUCAGUUACAACUAAAAGAAGAGAAGCAGCAUCUGUGUGCUUUGCGAAUUUGUGAAAUGUUGACUUUAAGGGAUAAGAAGAUUUUAGUCAUGUCAGUAUAUUGAGUUGACUGAAUAAAAAAUAUGAUAUUUAUCUGGAUGUUUCACCUUUACUGGGUUAUAUGCCCUUAAUGGCUUUGGUCUUUGCUUUUUGUUUUGUUUUAACUAAUGCAAUAGUAUUAGAGAGAGAGAGAGAGUCAGAGAAAGAGAGAAAAUGAGAUAGAGACAGUGAUGGAGAAUCUAAGUUUGUGGAGAGGUUGUGUGAGACUUUGUUUUUCUAAAGCCAUAACUAGAGUUGGAUGUCGGGAGUAGAAUCAAAUAUUGUAAUAUGUCCUUCUUGAUCCUGAUAACGAUGGGAAGCAAAUAAUUGAGGGAUGUGAGAAGAAAAUUAGAAAAAGUCAAGGUUCUCAAUAAACAGAAAACUUUUGUGAAAUCUUAACAGUUAUAUUUCUUUCAAAAAAUUAAACCUUAAGUAUACAUUCAUGUGGUAU
rnacentral:lncRNA from 1 species